rnacentral:rRNA from 1 species
UAAGGAAUAUUGCUCAAUGGGAGAAAUCCUGAAGCAGCAACGCCGCGUGGAGGAUGAAGGGUCUAUGACUUGUAAACUCCUGUAAAGAAGGAAAAAAUUCCCAUUAGAUGGGAGAUGAUGGUACUUCUGGAGUAAGCACCGGCUAACUACGUGCCAGCAGCCGCGGUAAUACGUAGGGGGCAAGCGUUGUCCGGAUUUACUGGGUGUAAAGGGCGCGCAGGCGGGAUAAAAAGUCAGUGGUGAAAUCCUACAGCUUAACUGUAGAACUGCCUUUGAUACUUUUAUUCUUGAGUUCGGGAGAGAGAGACGGAAUUCCAGGUGUAGUGGUGAAAUACGUAGAUAUCUGGAAGAACACCAGUUGCGAAGGCGGUCUCUUGGUCCGACACUGACGCUGAGGCGCGAAAGCGUGGGGAGCAAACA